AGAGUUUGAUCCUGGCUCAGAACGAACGCUGGCGGCAGGCUUAACACAUGCAAGUUGAACGUGAUUUGCUGGGUGCUUGCACCGAGCAAUGAAAGUAGCGCACUGGUGAGUAACACGUGGGAACGUACCUUUUGGUGGGGAACAACAGUUGGAAACGACUGCUAAUACCGCAUAAGCCCUGAGGGGGAAAGAUUUAUCGCCGAAAGAACGGCCCGCGGAAGAUUAGGUAGUUGGUGGGGUAACGGCCUACCAAGCCGACGAUCUAUAGCUGGUCUGAGAGGACGAUCAGCCACAUUGGAACUGAGACACGGUCCAAACUCCUACGGGAGGCAGCAGUGAGGAAUAUUGGGCAAUGGAGGCAACUCUGACCCAGCCAUGCCGCGUGAGUGAAGAAGGUUUUCGGAUUGUAAAGCUCUUUCGGGUGUGACGAUGAUGACGGUAGCACCUAAAGAAGCCCCGGCUAACUUCGUGCCAGCAGCCGCGGUAAUACGAAGGGGGCAAGCGUUGUUCGGAAUUACUGGGCGUAAAGGGAGUGUAGGCGGUUAUGUAAGAUAGUGGUGAAAUCCCAGAGCUUAACUUUGGAAUUGCCAUUAUGACUAUGUGGCUAGAAUUACAGAGAGGAUAGUGGAAUACCCAGUGUAGAGGUGAAAUUCGUAGAUAUUGGGUAGAACACCAGUGGCGAAGGCGACUAUCUGGCUGUAUAUUGACGCUGAGGCUCGAAAGCAUGGGGAUCAAACAGGAUUAGAUACCCUGGUAGUCCAUGCUGUAAACGAUGAGUGCUUGUUGUCGGUAUUGUAUCGGUGACGAAGUUAACGCGUUAAGCACUCCGCCUGGGGAGUACGGUCGCAAGAUUAAAACUCAAAGGAAUUGACGGGGACCCGCACAAGCGGUGGAGCAUGUGGUUUAAUUCGAUGCAACGCGAAGAACCUUACCAACUCUUGACAUCCUUAUCGGGGAGAUCAGAGAUGAUUUCUUUCAGUUAGGCUGGAUAAGUGACAGAUGCUGCAUGGCUGUCGUCAGCUCGUGUCGUGAGAUGUUGGGUUAAGUCCCGCAACGAGCGCAACCC
rnacentral:rRNA from 1 species